rnacentral:rRNA from 1 species
GACGAACGCUGGCGGCGUGCUUAACACAUGCAAGUCGAACGGUAAGGCCCUUCGGGGUACACGAGUGGCGAACGGGUGAGAAACACGUGGGUGAUCUGCCCUGCACUUCGGGAUAAGCCUGGGAAACUGGGUCUAAUACCGGAUAGGACCCUGGGAUGCAUGUCCUGGGGUGGAAAGCUUUUGCGGUGUGGGAUGGGCCCGCGGCCUAUCAGCUUGUUGGUGGGGUGAUGGCCUACCAAGGCGACGACGGGUAGCCGGCCUGAGAGGGUGACCGGCCACACUGGGACUGGGAUACGGCCCAGACGCCUACGGGAGGCAGCGGUGGGGAAUAUUGCACAAUGGGCGCAAGCCUGAUGCAGCGACGCCGCGUGAGGGAUGACGGCCUUCGGGUUGUAAACCUCUUUCAGCACCGACGAAGCGCAAGUGACGGUAGGUGCAGAAGAAGGACCGGCCAACUACGUGCCAGCCGCCGCAGUAA